rnacentral:rRNA from 1 species
GACAGAGGGUGCAAACGUUGUUCGGAAUUACUGGGCGUAAAGCGCGUGUAGGCUGCUUCGCAAGUCGGAUGUGAAAGCCCUGGGCUCAACCCAGGAAGUGCAUUUCGAAAACUGCAGAGCUGGAGUCCUGGAGAGGAAGGCGGAAUUCUCGGUGUAGAGGUGAAAAUUCGUAGAUAUCGAGAGGAACACCGGUGGCGAAGGCGGCCUUCUGGACAGUGACUGACGCUGAGAACGCGAAAGCGUGGGGAGCAAACAGG